CUCGUAGGCGGUCUGAUAAGUCCUGUGUGAAAUCCCUUGGCUUAACCAAGGAACUGCGCCGGAUACUGUCGGACUAGAGGCCGGGAGAGGGAAGCGGAAUUCCGAGUGUAGCGGUGAAAUGCGUAGAUAUUCGGAGGAACACCGGUGGCGAAGGCGGCUUCCUGGACCGGUUCUGACGCUGAUGAGCGAAAGCUAGGGUAGCAAACAGGAUUAGAUACCCUGGUAGUCCUAGCUGUAAACGAUGGGCGCUUGGUGUUGCGGGUAUCGACCCCUGCAGUGCCGAAGCUAACGCAUUAAGCGCCCCGCCUGGGGAGUACGGUCGCAAGGCUGAA
rnacentral:rRNA from 1 species